rnacentral:rRNA from 1 species
UAGGGAAUCUUCCGCAAUGGACGCAAGUCUGACGGAGCAACGCCGCGUGAGUGAAGAAGGAUUUCGGUUCGUAAAACUCUGUUGUUAGAGAAGAACAGCGCAUAGAGUAACCGUUAUGCGUGUGACGGUAUCUAACCAGAAAGCCACGGCUAACUACGUGCCAGCAGCCGCGGUAAUACGUAGGUGGCAAGCGUUGUCCGGAUUUACUGGGCGUAAAGCGAGCGCAGGCGGUCAAUUAAGUCUGAUGUGAAAGCCCCCGGCUCAACCGGGGAGGGUCAUUGGAAACUGGUUGACUUGAGUGCAGAAGAGGAGAGUGGAAUUCCAUGUGUAGCGGUGAAAUGCGUAGAUAUAUGGAGGAACACCAGUGGCGAAGGCGACUCUCUGGUCUGUAACUGACGCUGAGGCUCGAAAGCGUGGGUAGCAAACAGG